GGGAGCGUAGCUCAAUUGGGAGAGCGCGUCGUUCGCAAUGACGAGGUUGAGGGUUCGAUCCCCUUCGCUUCCACCA
rnacentral:tRNA from 1 species